GACAACCCGAGAGAUCGGGCGUUCCCCGUUCGGGGGACAGGGUGACAGGUGGUGCAUGGUUGUCGUCAGCUCGUGUCGUGAGAUGUUGGGUUAAGUCCCGCAACGAGCGCAACCCUCGACCUUAGUUGCCAGCAUUCAGUUGGGCACUCUAAGGUGACUGCCGGCUAAAAGUCGGGGAAGGUGGGGAUGACGUCAAAUCAUCAUGCCCCUUAUGACCUGGGCUACACACGUGCUACAAUGGGCGGUACAAAGGGUCGCGAACCCGCGAGGGGGAGCCAAUCCCAAAAAGCCGCUCUCAGUUCGGAUUGCAGGCUGCAACUCGCCUGCAUGAAGCCGGAAUCGCUAGUAAUCGCGGAUCAGCAUGCCCACGGUCGAAUACGUUCCGGGCCUU
rnacentral:rRNA from 1 species